CCUACGGGGGGCAGCAGUGAGGAAUAUUGGUCAAUGGACGAGAGUCUGAACCAGCCAAGUAGCGUGAAGGAUGACUGCCCUAUGGGUUGUAAACUUCUUUUAUAUGGGAAUAAAACGUUCCACGUGUGGGAUUUUGUAUGUACCAUAUGAAUAAGGAUCGGCUAACUCCGUGCCAGCAGCCGCGGUAAUACGGAGGAUCCGAGCGUUAUCCGGAUUUAUUGGGUUUAAAGGGAGCGUAGGUGGAUUGUUAAGUCAUUUGUGAAAGUUUGCGGCUCAACCGUAAAAUUGCAGGUGAAACUGGCAGUCUUGAGUACAGUAGAGGUGGGCGGAAUUCGUGGUGUAGCGGUGAAAUGCUUAGAUAUCACGAAGAACUCCGAUUGCGAAGGCAGUUCACUGGACUGCAACUGACACUGAGGCUCGAAAGUGUGGGUAUCAAACAGGAUUAGAUACCCAGUAGUC
rnacentral:rRNA from 1 species